rnacentral:rRNA from 1 species
GGGGAAUAUUGGACAAUGGGGGGAACCCUGAUCCAGCCAUGCCGCGUGUGUGAAGAAGGCCUUUUGGUUGUAAAGCACUUUAAGCGAGGAGGAGGCUACUCUAGUUAAUACCUGGGGAUAGUGGACGUUACUCGCAGAAUAAGCACCGGCUAACUCUGUGCCAGCAGCCGCGGUAAUACAGAGGGUGCGAGCGUUAAUCGGAUUUACUGGGCGUAAAGCGUGCGUAGGCGGCUUUUUAAGUCGGAUGUGAAAUCCCUGAGCUUAACUUAGGAAUUGCAUUCGAUACUGGGAAGCUAGAGUAUGGGAGAGGAUGGUAGAACUCCAGGUGUAGCGGUGAAAUGCGUAGAGAUCUGGAGGAAUACCGAUGGCGAAGGCAGCCAUCUGGCCUAAUACUGACGCUGAGGUACGAAAGCAUGAGGAGCAAACAG